rnacentral:rRNA from 1 species
AGUGAACGCUGGCGGUAGGCCUAACACAUGCAAGUCGAACGAGUGGCGGACGGGUGAGGAAUACAUCGGAAUCUACUCUGUCGUGGGGGAUAACGUAGGGAAACUUACGCUAAUACCGCAUACGAUUGAAUGAGCCGAUGUCGGUUUAGCUAGUUGGCGGGGUAAAGGCCCACCAAGGCGACGAUCCGUGGCUGGUCUGAGGGGAAGAUCAGCCACAGUGGAACUGGGAAACGGUCCAGACGCCUACGGGAGGCAGCAGUGGGGAAUAUUGGACAAUGGGCGAAGUCCGGAUCCAGCCAUACCGCGUGGGUGAAGAAGGCCUUCGGGUUGUAAAGCCCUUUGGUUGGGAAAGCGGUACCCAAAGAAUAAGCACCGGCUAACUUCGUGCCAGCAGCCGCGGUAAUUC